ensembl:lncRNA
AUUCCCGCUGAGGAAAAGUGUUGUGUGUGAGUGUCAAAGCGCGCUCUGGGUGAGAGAGUGUGUGUGAAGCUGCGAGGCGCGCUCUGGGUGCUGUCUUGUGGGUGAAGCGCGCACUGAGUGAGAGUGUGACUGAGGCGCGCUCUGAGUGUGUUUUGUGUGGAGAGUGAAGCGUGAACACAGUGACAGUGACGGUUAAUGUGUUUGAUUAGGAGGACAUUAGAGCAAAGACACAUUUUAGGAUCAAACGUUGAUGCCUAGUGUACCUGUGGACCUUUGCCCUAGGAGUGGCGACCCUCCUGUCCAGGGACGCUUGGCCAGGACCGGCGGCGUCCGGGUGCCGAGGUGGUGACUUGGGGAGAGAAAGGAACAGACACCAGACGAGGUCACAGAGAUGCGAGGAUCCUCCGUAGCAGAGUCAGACACAGUGACAGCCGAGACAGCAACUGGGGUCAAGUGUCAUGACGUUUGGGCUCCUGGAGAAGAUGGAUCCCACAAACACAGCAAUAACCAUGAAGGGGUUGGCGAAAACCAGGAACACCAGACCAACGAGGUUCGAGAGGCUCUUGGCAAAAAGGGGGACACGGCGGUGACCCCAAAACACACAGAUCCUUGUUUGAAAUCGCAAUAAUCCCCAGAACUGUGCAAUGACUAAAGGGUGGUCUAACCCCGGAGGACGAAGAAAGAAGCUGAGAAUCACCCAACUGGAAGACACUGGUAGCUGCAGCAAUAAAAAUAAAGGUUAAAAGCUCCUUAGACAGAGGUUCUAGUCUAAGUACAUUUGAAAGGUAUAAGGGGGCAUUAAAAUGGGAGUGGAAAACUGGAGCACCAAAAUAAAGCUGUGGGAAAAUUGGGAAUGAUGGGAGUGUCAUCUGUAACUGCUGUUAUGGUUGUAAAUCUAACUUUGCUUGCAUCUGAACUGCGUGAACACAGAGGUCAUCCCACAUAUGGUCCACCCGUUAAAGGGGGACAGAGGGCCUCAGGAUCAAGAAAACCUGGACCUUGCAACCCUGGAGUGCAUGUUGUAAGUGAUCUCUUUCAGAGAUCAAAAGGGGGAAUUAUUAAAUUAUUCUGUUAUUAUAUGUUACCUUAUAUAUGUAAUCAAAGUAGUUGAAUUAGAAUACUGCUGUAGAUCAUAUUAUACCCUUUAAAAUAGAGUGUGUGAGCUGUAUGUAGUUUAGUUCUCAUUAUACUUUUGAGUUAACAGAACAUAUUCACAUAUUAGUCCAUUGGAUAAAUGUGCAUCACUCUGUAUCCUUGAUCUGCUGGGAAUGUGUUACACUGUUUUCUUGACAUGCUUAAUUGUUGAAUCAUGAAGAGAAGGUUGUAAGCAGGAGACUCUGUGUCUAAAGACAGGGGAGAUAGACAGACCACAUUCCACACCCCCACCUUACAGAAAGCAGAGAAACAACUGCCGAGGUCAUAACUUAGGCGCUGUAACAGAGAAAAAAUGUGAUGUUUUGGCUUUUACGACUAGCUGGGGGCCACUAGAGACUAUAAAAAGCUGAGCAACCCGUCACCAUUUUGAGACAUGCUGUCGAACCUCUGCAGGCAUCUCUCCCGUCCGGACGUUGUAAUGCUCUUAUUGUUGAAUUGUAUGGA